UAUUUUCCUUCUGCAGAAAUAGGUUUUGUAAUCCACAUCGAGGUCGCUAUUACACCUGUCGAUUAGGUCUCUAUAGGUGUAUAACGCUGUUAUCCCUAAAGUAGCUUGUUUGAAUUUUAGAAUUUCUAGGUAUUUUAAUUAAAUUAGGAUUUUCUAGGAGUGUUGGAACUCUUUGCCGCCCCAGCUGAACACAAAGUUUAUAUAAUAGAUAUAGUUGUGUAAAGUUUUAUAGGGUCUUCUUGUCUUUAAGAUUUAUUUUAGCCUUUUUACUAAAAAGUAAAAUUAAGUGUAAAUAUAAGAAAAAAUUUUUCUUAAGUUAACUCUUUCAUUCCAGUCUUCAAUUAUAAGACUAAUGAUUAUGC
rnacentral:rRNA from 1 species